GACGUUGGGGCACAAAUUGAAUUAGAGUUAUUUCUGGACCUUACAGGCUGGGAUUCGACCUAAUGCUUUCUGUCAGCGUCAGAGAAAUGGGAAUUGAAAAUUCUUUAACUUUAAAAAUAUUUGUAAACAACUCAUUGAGCUGUCCAAUGAUUAUUAACUGGAUUACAUGCCAAUGAAUGUGGCAUUGUGAUUUAUUUGGUACUACAACACAUGUACUUAUAACAGACAGUACCCUAGGUAUGGCAUGGGGUAAAGUAUGGCAUGAGGUUAUCUGCCACCAGGAACUGCGUGCUACUCUAGGUAUGACAUGGAGCAUAGUAUGGCAUGGGGGUAUCUGUCCCCGGGAACUGUCUGUUACCCUAGGUAUUACAUGGAGUAUAGUAUGAUAUGGGAGUAUCUGUCCCCUGGGAACUGUCUGUUACCCUAGGUAUGACAUGGGGUAUAGUAAGCUGCAACCCAUCGGAAACUGUCUAUUACCCUAGGUAUGGCAUGGGUGUAUCUGUGCCCUGGGAACUGUAUGUUACCCUAGGUAUGACAUGGGGUAUAGUAUGGCAUGGAUUAUCUGUCCCGGGAGCUGUCUUUUACCCUAUGUAUGAAAUGUGGGUAUAGU